CACGUAGGGUGCGAGCGUUGUCCGGAAUUAUUGGGCGUAAAGAGCUCGUAGGCGGUGUGUCGCGUCGGCCGUGAAAACCUGCAGCUUAACUGUGGGCGUGCGGUCGAUACGGGCAUCACUGGAGUUCGGCAGGGGAGACUGGAAUUCCUGGUGUAGCGGUGAAAUGCGCAGAUAUCAGGAAGAACACCCGUGGCGAAGGCGGUUCUCUGGGACGGUACUGACGCUGAGACGCGAAAGCGUGGGGAGCGAACAGG
rnacentral:rRNA from 1 species